rnacentral:rRNA from 1 species
CACCGCGGUUAUACGAGAGGCCCAAAUUGAUGAAAAACGGCGUAAAGCGUGGUUAAGAAAAAAGAGAAAAUAUGGCCGAACAGCUUCAAAGCAGUUAUACGCAUCCGAAGUCACGAAGAACAAUCACGAAAGUUGCCCUAAAACCUCCGAUUCCACGAAAGCCAUAAAA